AUGAGCGGGAUAAACAGUGGACACUGUGACAGUUUCUUGAGCAGGAUGUCUCGGUAUGCAGGUGUCCAGUGUGAGGAGAAGCUGGUGUCGUGUGAGGGAGGCUUGGUGCCACGUGGGAUUUCCCUGAGAUUCCCCUGUGUGGCCUCAGGAUUCACCUUCAAUAGCUAUGGCAUGCACUGGAUUCUCCAGGCUCCAGGGAAGGGGCUGGAGUGGGUCACAGACAUUAAUUAUCAUGGUAGUAACACAUACUAUGUGGAUUCCGUCAAGGGCCAAUUCACCAACUUCAGAAACAAUGGCAAGAACAAGCUGUACCUGCAAAUGAACAGCCUGAGAACUGAGGACACAGCCCUCUAUGACUCUGCAAGAGACACAGUGAGGAGAUAUCAAUGA